rnacentral:rRNA from 1 species
AACGAACGCUGGCGGCAGGCUUAACACAUGCAAGUCGAACGCCCCGCAAGGGGAGUGGCAGACGGGUGAGUAACGCGUGGGAAUCUACCGUGCCCUGCGGAAUAGCUCUGGGAAACUGGAAUUAAUACCGCAUACGCCCUACGGGGAAAGAUUUAUCGGGGUAUGAUGAGCCCGCGUUGGAUUAGCUAGUUGGUGGGUAA